UACAGAGGUCCCGAGCGUUGUUCGGAUUCAUUGGGCGUAAAGGGUGCGUAGGCGGUUUGCUAAGCUUGAUGUGAAAGCCCGGGGCUUAACCCUGGAAUGGCAUUGAAUACUGGCGAACUAGAGUACUGGAGAGGAAACUGGAAUUUACGGUGUAGCAGUGAAAUGCGUAGAGAUCGUAAGGAAGACCAGUGGCGAAGGCGAGUUUCUGGACAGUUACUGACGCUGAGGCACGAAGGCCAGGGGAGCAAACGGG
rnacentral:rRNA from 1 species